rnacentral:rRNA from 1 species
AUUGAACGCUGGCGGCAUGCCUUACACAUGCAAGUCGAACGGCAGCACGGGAGCAAUCCUGGCGGCGAGUGGCGAACGGGUGAGUAAUAUAUCGGAACGUGCCCAGUAAUGGGGGAUAGCCCGGCGAAAGCCGGAUUAAUACCGCAUACGACCUACGGGUGAAAGCAGGGGAUCGCGAGACCUUGCGUUAUUGGAGCGGCCGAUAUCAGAUUAGCUAGUUGGUGGGGUAAAAGCCUACCAAGGCGACGAUCUGUAGCUGGUCUGAGAGGACGACCAGCCACACUGGGACUGAUACACGGCCCAGACUCCGACGGGAGGCAGCAGUGGGGAAUUUUGGACAAUGGGCGCAAGCCUGAUCCCGCCAUGCCGCGUGUGGGAAGAAGGCCUUCGGGUUGUAAACCACUUUUGUCAGGGAAGAAACGCUCUGGGCUAAUACCCUGGGGUAAUGACGGUACCUGAAGAAUAAGCACCGGCUAACUACGUGCCAGCCGCCGCUGUAAUAC